GACGAACGCUGGCGGCGUGCCUAACACAUGCAAGUCGAACGGAACUGUUUUGAAAGCUUUCUUCGGAAUGAAUUUGAUUUAGUUUAGUGGCGGACGGGUGAGUAACGCGUGAGUAACCUGCCUUCAAGAGGGGAAUAACAUUCUGAAAAGAAUGCUAAUACCGCAUGACAUAUCGGAACCACAUGGUUUUGAUAUCAAAGAUUUUAUCGCUUGAAGAUGGACUCGCGUCCGAUUAGUUAGUUGGUGAGGUAACGGCUCACCAAGACCGCGAUCGGUAGCCGGACUGAGAGGUUGAACGGCCACAUUGGGACUGAGACACGGCCCAGACUCCUACGGGAGGCAGCAGUGGGGGAUAUUGCGCAAUGGGGGCAACCCUGACGCAGCAACGACGCGUGAAGGAUGAAGGUUUUCGGAUUGUAAACUUCUUUUAUUAAGGACGAAAAAUGACGGUACUUAAUGAAUAAGCUCCGGCUAACUACGUG
rnacentral:rRNA from 1 species